AGCUACAGCAACAACAGCUGCCUAGAGAGGCUCCGUACUGUAGUCCAGUAAUUUGAGCGAGGGAAUGCUUCUCUUUUUUGUUUCCAGGGAGCAACGAGAGAUUUUUUUCCUGAAAUCGAGCACAAAAUCGAGGCGGUAGUUUCCUGGUGGAUGAAUGCUGCAGAAGCAAAAGACGAUGUCUAAUGACAACAAAUAGAGAAGUGGAGACUGAAGUGAGCUAGCAGGCUAAUGCGGCUAGCAUCUCAAGCCGAGAGGGGCGUCCGAAUGGAGGCGCGCUGUGGAAACGAUAUAUUUUUGUAUUAUUUUUUGAAAAAAUCCAGCAAAUACACGGAUACCGGGAAAAUUCUAUAAAAAAUCCGGAAAAUUAUAGCAGGCGACGACGAGUGGGUUGAUGUGGGUCGUUUGAUUGAGCGAGGUGGUUUUGUGCAUUUUUUAAACGUUAAGUUUGAGCGGGAUUGGUGAUGUGAGCGAGACGGCCGGCGAGCCCGAGAGCCUAUCAGAGAGCGAUACACCGGGAUGCCACACCGACCAACACUGCCCUAUUCUUUACUAGUUUUUGUUCCUCUUUUAACGUGAAAUAAAAAAGCAACGAUGACCAGAGUGCCUUUAGUUUUAUUUUUCGUUUUUUUUUGUUUACAUAUACAGUGCGCUCACAAUUUCUAUUUGCCAACUUUUUCUUUUUAUAUUUUUGGAUGGAUUAACAAACAUGACUGCUCAGGCGUUUUAGGAAUGGCUUGGUUGGGAUGUCAGAAACUAGAAAACAGUUCAAGAUAGAGUCCUGGAAUGCCUGAAGCCCUGCUGAGAGAAAGAGAGAGAGAAAGGAGGAGAGGACAG